rnacentral:rRNA from 1 species
GGGUUGUGAGGUUAAGCGACUAAGCGUACACGGUGGAUGCCCUGGCAGUCAGAGGCGAUGAAGGACGUGCUAAUCUGCGAAAAGCGUCGGUAAGGUGAUAUGAACCGUUAUAACCGGCGAUGUCCGAAUGGGGAAACCCAGUGCAAUUCGUUGCACUAUCGUUAACUGAAUACAUAGGUUAACGAGGCGAACCGGGGGAACUGAAACAUCUAAGUACCCCGAGGAAAAGAAAUCAACCGAGAUUCCCCCAGUAGCGGCGAGCGAACGGGGAGCAGCCCAGAGUCUGAAUCAGCUUGUGUGUUAGUGGAACGGUCUGGAAAGUCCGACGGUACAGGGUGAUAGUCCCGUACACCAAAAUGCACAGGUUGUGAACUCGAAGAGUAGGGCGGGACACGUGGUAUCCUGUCUGAAUAUGGGGGGACCAUCCUCCAAGGCUAAAUACUCCUGACUGACCGAUAGUGAACCAGUACCGUGAGGGAAAGGCGAAAAGAACCCCGGCGAGGGGAGUGAAAAAGAACCUGAAACCGUGUACGUACAAGCAGUGGGAGCACCUUCGGGUGUGACUGCGUACCUUUUGUAUAAUGGGUCAGCGACUUAUAUUCUGUAGCAAGGUUAACCGUAUAGGGGAGCCGCAGGGAAACCGAGUCUUAACUGGGCGUUAAGUUGCAGGGUAUAGACCCGAAACCCGGUGAUCUAGCCAUGGGCAGGUUGAAGGUUGGGUAACACUAACUGGAGGACCGAACCGACUAAUGUUGAAAAAUUAGCGGAUGACUUGUGGCUGGGGGUGAAAGGCCAAUCAAACCGGGAGAUAGCUGGUUCUCCCCGAAAGCUAUUUAGGUAGCGCCUCGUGAACUCAUCUUCGGGGGUAGAGCACUGUUUCGGCUAGGGGGUCAUCCCGACUUACCAACCCGAUGCAAACUACGAAUACCGAAGAAUGUUAUCACGGGAGACACACGGCGGGUGCUAACGUCCGUCGUGAAGAGGGAAACAACCCAGACCGCCAGCUAAGGUCCCAAAGUCAUGGUUAAGUGGGAAACGAUGUGGGAAGGCACAGACAGCCAGGAUGUUGGCUUAGAAGCAGCCAUCAUUUAAAGAAAGCGUAAUAGCUCACUGGUCGAGUCGGCCUGCGCGGAAGAUGUAACGGGGCUAAACCAUGCACCGAAGCUGCGGCAGCGACACUAUGUGUUGUUGGGUAGGGGAGCGUUCUGUAAGCCUGCGAAGGUGACCUGUGAGGGUUGCUGGAGGUAUCAGAAGUGCGAAUGCUGACAUAAGUAACGAUAAAGCGGGUGAAAAGCCCGCUCGCCGGAAGACCAAGGGUUCCUGUCCAACGUUAAUCGGGGCAGGGUGAGUCGACCCCUAAGGCGAGGCCGAAAGGCGUAGUCGAUGGGAAACAGGUUAAUAUUCCUGUACUUGGUGUUACUGCGAAGGGGGGACGGAGAAGGCUAUGUUAGCCGGGCGACGGUUGUCCCGGUUUAAGCAUGUAGGCUGGUUAUCCAGGCAAAUCCGGAUAAUCAAGGCUGAGGUGUGAUGACGAGGCACUACGGUGCUGAAGUAACAAAUGCCCUGCUUCCAGGAAAAGCCUCUAAGCAUCAGGUAACAUCAAAUCGUACCCCAAACCGACACAGGUGGUCAGGUAGAGAAUACCAAGGCGCUUGAGAGAACUCGGGUGAAGGAACUAGGCAAAAUGGUGCCGUAACUUCGGGAGAAGGCACGCUGGUGUGUAGGUGAAGUCCCUGCGGAUGGAGCUGAGACCAGUCGAAGAUACCAGCUGGCUGCAACUGUUUAUUAAAAACACAGCACUGUGCAAACACGAAAGUGGACGUAUACGGUGUGACGCCUGCCCGGUGCCGGAAGGUUAAUUGAUGGGGUUAUCCGUAAGGAGAAGCUCUUGAUCGAAGCCCCGGUAAACGGCGGCCGUAACUAUAACGGUCCUAAGGUAGCGAAAUUCCUUGUCGGGUAAGUUCCGACCUGCACGAAUGGCGUAAUGAUGGCCAGGCUGUCUCCACCCGAGACUCAGUGAAAUUGAACUCGCUGUGAAGAUGCAGUGUACCCGCGGCAAGACGGAAAGACCCCGUGAACCUUUACUAUAGCUUGACACUGAACAUUGAGCCUUGAUGUGUAGGAUAGGUGGGAGGCUUUGAAGCGUGGACGCCAGUCUGCGUGGAGCCAACCUUGAAAUACCACCCUUUAAUGUUUGAUGUUCUAACGUUGGCCCCUGACCGGGGUUGCGGACAGUGUCUGGUGGGUAGUUUGACUGGGGCGGUCUCCUCCCAAAGCGUAACGGAGGAGCAC